UCCUUGGGAUACCACCCUUGUAGUACUGGGACUCUAACCAUAGGCCAUGAAUCUGUCUUGGGACACUGUCAGGUGGCAGUUUGACUGGGGCGGUCGCCUCCCAAAAGGUAACGGAGGCGCUCAAAGGUUCUCUCAGUACGGUCGGAAAUCGUACGUAGAGUGUAAAGGCAAAAGAGAGCUUGAUUGCAAGACAUACAGGUCGAGCAAGGAUGAAAAUCGGACUUAGUGAUCCGGUGGUUCUGCGUGGAAGGGCCAUCGCUCAACGGAUAAAAGCUACCCUGGG
rnacentral:rRNA from 1 species